rnacentral:rRNA from 1 species
GACGAACGCUGGCGGCGUGCUUAACACAUGCAAGUCGAACGGAAAGGCCCUGCUUAGGUGGGGUGCUCGAGUGGCGAACGGGUGAGUAACACGUGGGUAACCUGCCCUUGACUGUGGGAUAACUUCAGGAAACUGGGGCUAAUACCGGAAAGGAGCUCCUGCUGCAGGGUGGGGGUUGGAAAGUUUCGGCGGUUGGGGUUGGACUCGCGGCUUAUCAGCUUGUUGGUGGGGUAGUGGCUUACCAAGGCUUGGAGGGGUGGCCGGGCUGGGAGGGUGACCGGCCCAACUAGGACGGGGCUACGGCCCAGCCUCCUCCGCGAGGGAGGAGUGGGGAAUAUUGUACUGUGGGCUGAAGCAUAGUCUGAUAACGCCGCGUGCGGGAUGACAGGCUUGGGUUUGUAAUCCGAUUCCGCCUGUGACGAAACGUGAGUGACGGUAAUGGGUAAAGAAGCACCGGCUAACUACGUG